UCUCUUCCUGCAGUGAUGGUGUCAUACCAGCCCAUGGAACAGUUCCCAUCAAAUAAGCCGUGAAUGCACCACACCAGCAAGAACAAUAAGAGCCGAGGUUCUGAAUUGUUUAAUCAAAAGAAGAGUCAAAAUAAGCUACACCCAGAUUACUGAGAAAGGUGAAAUGAAAACAAGCUCAAAACCAAAUUCCAGGAAGAUGCUGUCUUUGUAUUGACUUACCAUUUCAUGUUUUCAUACAUGUCAAAGUCUUGAAGAUUCGGUCAUUAGUCUUCUGCUUCCUAAAGCAAGAAAGUAAAUGCUGACUUGUGUUAUUUGCCCCAGAUGCCACCGGAAAUAUCAUCUUCUCCCCAGACGCUGGUUUGCAAGCAUAGCAGCACCCAAAGGCUGACCUAUUUCCCCUAUAGCCCAAGCUCAGAGAGAUCUCCCGUCUGGCCACAAUGAUCUACAGGAGAGGAAGAAAGCUAUCUAGGGAUGAGAUCUAGAAUCAACUGAGAGAGAAGCUUAAACAUCACCAGUUACUUUAAUGACCAUCCGCAGACCCACCCUGUGCAAAGGAAGGAGCUAGGCCGUGCGCCCUGGGCGUCAUGAUCCUCCUGCGGGCCUCCGAAGUGCGGCAGCUGCUCCACAAUAAGUUCGUGGUCAUCCUGGGGGACUCUGUGCAUAGGGCGGUGUACAAGGACCUGGUACUUCUGCUGCAGAAGGACUGCCUGCUCACUCCCCAGCAGCUCAAAGCAAAGGGGGAGCUGAACUUCGAACAAGAUGAACUGGUGGACGGAGGCCAGCGCGGCCGCAUGCACAACGGCCCUAACUACCGUGAAGUUCGCGAGUUCCGCUCCGACCACCAUCUGGUAUGGUCGGAACUCCUGGUGGAGCUACCUGGAAAACCUGGAGAACCUGUUCCAGUGCCUGGGCCAGGUGCUGCCCGAGUCUUGCCUCCUGGUGUGGAACACGGCCAUGCCUGUGGGCGAGGAAGUCACCGGGGGUUUCCUUCCGCCCAAGCUCCGGCAGCAGAAGGGCACCUUCCUGAAAAACGAAGUGGUCGAAGCCAACUUCUACAGCGCCACCGAGGCACGUAAACAUAACUUCGAUGUACUGGACUUGCAUUUUUACUUCCACCACGCGAGGGAGAACCUGCACUCGGACGGGGUGCACUGGAAUGGACGCGUGCACCGCUGCCUCUCCCAGCUGCUGCUGGCCCACGUGGCUGACGCCUGGGGUGUGGAGUUGCCCCAGCGCCAUCCUGUGGGCGAGUGGAUCAAGAAGAAAAAACCUGGCCCGAGAGUUGAAGGGCCGCCCCAGGCCAACAGAAAUCACCCGGCCUUACCUCUGUCCCCACCCUUACCUUCCCCCACAUACUGCCCCCUGCUUGGGUUGCCACCUCAGCGAUUGCCGCUGCUCCCGCUCCUGCCCCCACAGCCUCCUCCUCCCAUUCCCCUUCACCAGGGAAUGCCCCGGUUCCCACAGGGUCCCCCAGAUGCCUGUUUUUCCUCAGACCAUACUUUCCAGUCAGAUCAAUUCUAUUGCCAUUCAGAUGUCCCCUCAUCAGCCCAUACAGGUUUCUUCUUCCAAGACAACUUUGCGAUUGGUCCCCAGCUGCCUAUGCCCUUCUUCCCCACACCCCGUUAUCAGCGGCCUGCCCCUGUGGUCCAUAGGGGUUUUGGCAGGUAUCGUCCCCGUGGCCCCUAUGUGCCCUGGGGACAGCGGCCUAGACCUUCAAAGAGAAGGGCCCUAGCCAACCCGGAGCCAAGGCCUCAAUAGAUGGACCUAGGCCUUAUUUCCUCUUUAUGAGCAUGGAUUGGACAGAUCUGACACUUCCUUUCCAUUGCUUGGCCUGGACAGACUGACCUUGUUAACUUAAGCCUGGAGUCCAUGCCUGGUCUUUUUGUUCAUUGCUAUUACCAAGAAAGCCAAGGAGGAGCAGUCUGACUCAUUCUUCUUGGCUGCAGCCUCUUCCCCACUUCCUGGGGGUGACCCAGCAUUAUUCCUGCCUCCCCACUCUAUUCUCUUUGCCUUUGUGUAAAACUAAAAUUGAAAUAAAGAAGUUGCACAAAAGUAGUUGUGGGUUUUGCAUGUCUAUAUUUAAUGGAUGCCUCUCCAUUAAACAAUUAGUUCUUAGUAUGUUUUGGCUCUGUGCCCCCACCCAAAUCUCAUCUUGAAUUGUAAUAAUCCCCAUGUGUCAAGGGCGGGACCAUGUGCAGGUAAUUGAAUCAUGGGGGUGGUUUCCCCUAUGCUGUUCUCAUUAUAAUGAGUGAGUCUCACCAGAUCUGAUGGGUUGUUGUUGUUGUUUAGACAGAAUUUUGCUCUUGUUGCGCUGGCUGGAGUGCAAUGGCGCGAUCUCAGCUCACCACAACCUCCUCCUCCCAGGUUCAAGCAACUCCCUUGCCUCAGCCUCCUGAGUAGCUGUGAUUACAGGCAUGCAGCACCACUCCUGGCUAAUUUUGUAUUUUUAGUAGAGACGAGAUUUCUCUGUUGGUCAGGCUGGUCUCAAACUCCCGACCUCAGGUGAUCCGCCCACCUUGGCCUCCCAAAGUGCUAGGAUUGAGCCACUGGGUCCAGCCACCACUUCUCUGUUUUUAAGAAUGUUAACAUAACUAAGACUGUUUAAAUGCUAGGCUCACUGUAUCACUCAACUAGUGAAAUGUUAAUACUUAGAUAAAAUAGUCAAAAUCAGAUGUGAUUAAAAUUGUUCAAAUAAUAGGAUUUUUCAUCGCAUUGAUUUGACUGGUUUGUAGCUCCCCAAUACCACCAUCCCUAAAUUUGACAAGAAUUAGGACAUGCUGUCUUGCAAAAAUGAGGUUCAUGAAGUCACAAG
ensembl:lincRNA